CACCUCCUUCCUCUUCAUCUCCGUUUCUCAACCACUGAGAAACGGAUGAAUCCCCCUGCCUCUUCAUCACCCGGCCCCCCCGCUCCCGCAUUUAAUCAUUCUCUCCUCUGCCGCUCCACCCACCCGGCCCCCCUCUAUCUCUUCCGCUUGCGUUUGCCACCGUUGGCGGCGGAAUCACGACGCGCAUGGUUAGAUCGCCGAGGGAUACUGGAAAGAUCACUUUUCCUUCACCACUAAAGCAGUUCCCGACGAUCGGGGAGGCGAAGAGGAUGGUUCUGGUGAGGCACGGGCAGAGCACGUGGAACGAGGAGGGGAGGAUCCAAGGGAGCUCUGAUUUCUCCGUUCUCACCCCGAAGGACGUCUCAGGCCGAAACCUCUUGCCAUGUGCUCAUCGCCGACUCUUUUGAUGUCCGCUUCACCAGUCCCUUGAUCCGACCAAAGAGAACUGCUGAGAUUAUAUGGGCUGCUCGACAGGAGGAAAUGAUAUCAGAAUCUGACCUUCGGGAGAUUUAUCUCUACGCUUUUUAAGUUAGCAG